rfam:Desulfobacteraceae bacterium IS3 Ga0073107_10293, whole genome shotgun sequence.
CCCGGCAAUGAAUUGCCGGGCUAUUGCCGGUCGUCCCUACGGGACU